rnacentral:rRNA from 1 species
AGAUUGAACGCUAGCGGGAUGCUUUACACAUGCAAGUCGAACGGCAGCGCGGACUUCGGUCUGGCGGCGAGUGGCGAACGGGUGAGUAAUAUAUCGGAACGUGCCCAGUAGCGGGGGAUAACUACGCGAAAGCGUGGCUAAUACCGCAUACGCCCUACGGGGGAAAGGGGGGAUCGGCAAGACCUCUCACUAUUGGAGCGGCCGAUAUCAGAUUAGCUAGUUGGUGAGGUAAAGGCUCACCAAGGCGACGAUCUGUAGCUUGGUUUGAGAGGACGACCAGCCACACGUGGGACUGAGACCACGGCCCAGACCUCCGUACGGGAGGCAG